rnacentral:tRNA from 1 species
UGAAAGUAGGCUAUUUAAGCUGCAGGGCUCAUACCUCUGAGAAGUGAAAACCUUUCAA